rnacentral:rRNA from 1 species
UACGGAGGGUGCAAGCGUUAUCCGGAUUCACUGGGUUUAAAGGGUGCGUAGGUGGGUUGGUAAGUCAGUGGUGAAAUCUCCAGGCUUAACUUGGAAACUGCCAUUGAUACUAUCAAUCUUGAAUACCGUGGAGAUGAGCGGAAUAUGUCAUGUAGCGGUGAAAUGCUUAGAUAUGACAUAGAACACCAAUUGCGAAGGCAGCUCGUUACACGAAUAUUGACACUGAUGUACGAAAGCGUGGGGAGCAAACAGG